rnacentral:rRNA from 1 species
GCCAGAGCCAUAUGACCCUGCAGCUAUUGCUAUUCCCACUGAAGUUAAGCAGGGUUGAGCUUAGCCAGUGCCUGGAUGGGAGUCCUCUUGGGGAAAACUAAGGUUGCUGCUGGAA